ACCAAUCCCCACAGCCGCCAGCCCGCACCUCUCCCUCCUCCGGUCCUCCCUUUCUCAGCCGCCACCCCCACGAACCCUAGUCGCGCCCUCCUGCAUCUGUCCACCUCCCCCUUCCUGAUCCGCCCCAAGCCCCUCCUCGUCUCCUUGUCACACCCACCUCAUCACCAGCGACGGCCGCGCCUAAACGCAUGAGCUAGCCAAGGAAAAGCGGGGUGGCGCGACGCCCUGGUCAUCGGCCGGCGAGGAGCCUGCGUAGAGGCGGUGGCGGAGACGACCCUAGAUGGUGCCCAGGCCAAGAUCUGGACAGGGCGCCUCAACCUCGCCUUCCUCUUCCACCUACUCACUGAUAGAGAGACAGCAGCAGCGGUGGGAGGAGCCUGGGCAUAGAGGAGAGAAGUGGACGAGGGGGGUGCAAAGCCAGGAGAUGGGGGUCGCCGGAUGAGCACAUCCACAUAGGGCUUGAUCCCGCCGCUGCCAGAGCAGAGUGGAGCACCACACGGGGCCCGAUGGGGUGGCCGGGAGCGCGUGACAUCCGGCUCCCAAGCAGCUCCCAAGCAGGGAAUGCAGCGGUGCUGGCCUCUCCUCUCCGCGCGCCUUUGUCCUGCGUCGUCACUACCGCCAUGGCCUUGCUCGCCAUUGACCUCCCCAAGUGCUUCUCUCCACAAAUGGUGCCGUCAUGUCCAUAUCAAAUCAAGCGCCAGGAAAGUACAACACGUGCACAUAACUUGUUUGAGGAAAUUCCAUCUGGAAGCAAUAUUUGAUCAUGACUUGUGUUCUUGAUGCUUCAUCUGCGGCUAGCUAACUACAACAACACAUAUGUAAAGGGAAACCAUCGUAAGAAACACAGGAAGACAUUGCAUUGUUGAAGGAGUCCAUUGGGGACUGGAGUCGAUGGCCUACGACAUGGGUAGACACGUGUGCUUCAUGAUUAUUGUUGAUUAACUCAGAGUAUAUGAAUGCUUUGAAGGAAUGAUAUGCAUAAUUCAGACUAAAUCUUGCUGGUGAUAGUGAGGAGUUUAUUUGGCUGUAGCACUUUGAUUCUUUCUCACUGUCAAAGUUUGUUCAGUACUUCUCUCAUAUUUUUUUGUUUGUUCCAGUGUGCUAUGUGCAUCUUGCUAGUGGCGGGAGUGGCAGCCAAGAUGAUGGGCGCGGGAGCAGCGCACGUGUGAGCAAUGACAAGUGUGUCUGCUGCCAACCUUCACAGGGAAGAGACCCAUGGUCCAGAGUAGUACAUGCAAAUGAAGGAUACCAGACUGGCCCAUGGAGCAUGAGAUCCCCACCUUACUUGUAUGGCCUCAGGCUGAGGAGACCCUUCUAAUUAAGGUGGUCACUACUUACUUGCUUACUUGAACCUAUUUGUAGACCAAUUGCGAGUUAGUACCUGGGAAAAUGAACAUUUUUCUACCUCAAAUUUGCAUAUCAGUAUCCUUGUCUAAUUUAAGAUUGCUUUGCUUACUAUGAAGAUGAUUUGUGCUGCUGUAGUGUUCUUCAGUUUCUAGUGUUUAGAUGCCAGUUCAUUGUUGAGACAGUUCUGCUAUGUCCGUCUUCUGGAAAAUGCAGUAAGUAAAUAUUUUUUCUGUACAUUUUCACAGAUCCUAUUCGCCAAAGGAAAAAUAAAUAGAUAUAGAGAGGUAUAAAUUCAACAAAAAACAUUUUUUGAUUAAAAGGCUAUUCCAUUUGUCACCUACUGUACUUGCCCAUGACUGAAACAAUUAAUACAUGGUUUUCUUUUCAAAGCAUGCACGGAAUUAGUAGGCCUUUGCGCAACGGGUAUAGUACUGUCAGGACAUUAAGUAUAUUCAUGAAGUUGUGCAAAGUUUAAAAUUGGUUGCGGUAUCUCACAUUUGUCAAAUCCUUAUAUGUUGAUGGUAGUCAUGCUUAUUCCCAGCAUAUUAAGUAAGCUUGUGCUAUACUUGUGACUAAAUAAAGAAAUGUUCGGACUUAUCUUUUAUUUGCUCUACUUAAAGUGUUCAGGGUUUACCCAGAGGGCAAUUAUAUGUUUCCUACAGCCGUCUCCCGCGUGACGUCAAGAAAAUCCUUGAUGUUUAUGUUUUACUUGGCCUAAAUUUUGGUUUUCAAAUAGUUCUGCCUCUCAGUUUGAUAUUUCUACUUGCUUUUGAUUAGUAAUAUGAUGUAUUGUUUUCUAGAUCUAGGCCUACUUGCGUUCAAGGUUCAGUUGAUUGUUUUUCUUAAGGGUGUUUUUUUAAUUAGUGGCAUGAACAUGUGGCACUAAUUCCGUUGUGCAUUAUAUUGUGAAUUUUCCAGACAACACCAUUAUUGUAAAUAGAGAUGCUAAUGAGAAUAACAAAGAUGCUAAGAGGCAACCUUUUGGGGAUAUAACAACAACAUGGCUUAUGAGUCCGAACAGAGCUUGAGUGGUGUCUUUUGGUUCUUGAAGCCCUGCACUUUCCUGGUGGAGUAGUGAUGACCCACAAGUAUAGGGGAUCUAUCGUAGUCCUUUCGAUAAGUAAGAGUGUCGAACCCAACUAGGAGCAGAAGGAAAUGACAAGCGGU